rnacentral:rRNA from 1 species
GACGAACCGUGCGAACGUUAUUCGGAAUCACUGGGCUUAAAGGGCGCGUAGGCGGGUUCUCAAGUCAGGGGUGAAAUCCCGCGGCUCAACCGUGGAAGUGCCUUUGAUACUGGGGACCUCGAGUCCGGGAGAGGUGAGUGGAACUGCGAGUGUAGAGGUGAAAUUCGUAGAUAUUCGCAAGAACACCAGUGGCGAAGGCGGCUCACUGGCCCGGUACUGACGCUGAGGUGCGAAAGCGUGGGGAGCAAACAGG